rnacentral:tRNA from 1 species
AGAAAUUUAGGUUACCUAAACCAAGGGCCUUCAAAGCCCUAAACGGGAAAUCGUCCCAAUUUCUG